CUCCUGCGACUAUCCCUUACCAUCAGACUUACUCGGAUAAGGCACUCUAUUUUGUGGAUUCUACCAAAAUAAAUGCCUUGUCCUUGGGAGGCUGUUGGGAAAGAAGACUUUUGGAUUGA
rnacentral:precursor_RNA from 12 species